rnacentral:rRNA from 1 species
CUCGUAGGCGGUUUGUUAAGUCAGAUGUGAAAGCCCCGGGCUUAACCUGGGAACUGCAUUUGAUACUGGCAAACUAGAGUGUGGUAGAGGGAAGUGGAAUUCCUCAUGUAGCGGUGAAAUGCGUAGAUAUGAGGAGGAACACCAGUGGCGAAGGCGACUUCCUGGACCAACACUGACGCUCAGGUACGAAAGCGUGGGUAGCAAACAGGAUUAGAUACCCUGGUAGUCC